UAGGGAAUAUUGCGCAAUGGAGGAAACUCUGACGCAGCGACGCCGCGUGGGUGAUGAAGGUUUUCGGAUCGUAAAGCCCUGUCGGAAGAGACGAAAAAUGGGGUGGCUAACAUCCACUCCACUUGACGGUAUCUUCAGAGGAAGCACCGGCUAACUACGUGCCAGCAGCCGCGGUAAUACGUAGGGUGCAAGCGUUGUUCGGAAUCAUUGGGCGUAAAGCGCGUGUAGGCGGUUAGUUAAGUUGGGUGUGAAAUCCCUGGGCUCAACCGAGGAAGUGCAUCCAAAACUAAUUAGCUAGAGAGUGGUAGAGGAAGGUGGAAUUCCGUGUGUAGAGGUGAAAUUCGUAGAUAUACGGAGGAAUACCGGUGGCGAAGGCGGCCUUCUGGACCAUUUCUGACGCUGAGACGCGAAAGCGUGGGGAGCAAACAGG
rnacentral:rRNA from 1 species